AAACGUUUCAUUGUUACCGACCGUCCCUAGAGCAAGUGGCAAAGGGCUUGGUGGUUGGUACUCAAGACCCAAGUUCGAAUCAUAGUUGAUUCACAUUUCCAGCUAAGUCUAUUUCUAAAUAAAAUAAACGAAACGGGUAGCGUGCUACCUAUUUCUCAAAAAAAAAACGUUUCAUUGUUGGAAACAAUUUAAAAGUAAAUAUAUACCUCCAUUUACUUCUGAAUUUAUUCUAAUUUUGUAUUUGUAUGUGUGUGUGUGUGUGUGUGUGUGUGUGUGUGUGAGAGAGAGAGAGAGAGAGAGAGAGAGAGACCGGUGUCACGGCCUUAGCGGUUCUGUUCGCAAAGCCCGUGCGGCGCCCGCCUUCCUGCUCGAAGAUGGGCAAGCCUUCGUCCCUAUUGCUAGUUCGGACCUUCGCGUCCUACGAUUAAGUAUGCAAAGGAAAAUGACAAAGAGAGGAGGUAGAGGUUCACUCAAAAACUAAGUACUCCACUACUUAGAAAAGAGAUUACAAUACACAUACACACACACUCCCUCUUGUGUGUUUUGACCUUAACCAAAACCCCACUAUUUAUAAGCUCCUAAAUACAAUGAACUUAGACACACACUAACUCUUUCAUUAUGAGACACAUUAACUCACCUUCAUAAUGAACCAUAAGCUCAAAAGUCACCCCAUAACUCAUCCACUAUUGCAUACAUAAUGAGCCCUCAUAAUAGCCAAAAGCUCAAGAGUCACCCAUAACUCCCAUGAGUUUCAUAACCCUUGAGUUUCCCACAGCUGGUUGGGUUUGGGUCUCCUUGACAACCCGAUUCAACCUGUUUUGAACCUGUUUCGCUAGCAGAUUUGGGCCACUGUCAAGGAGAAGUUAGCGGGAAAAAUUUUGCCCUUGACAUUCUCCCCCACCUAACGCGCAGACGCCCUCGUCGCGCGCCGAGUCGCUGCCAGUCCGCAUAGCCUUCUCAUCGCUUGGUUGUCCACGAACUGCGUUGACGAGAUUUAGCGUGCCCAUCCUUGGCAGCUCGACCACGUCCUUGCCCUCCUCGGCUUGGACCGCAGCAACCUAUUUACCUUUGUAGUUGCUCCUGUUUGGGCAGUCCCGCGCCCAAUGAUUCUCGCCGCAAACAUAGCACGAGAUCGUUGCAGGCGGCGGGGCGGGAUUCUGCUAUUGCUUCCUCGCAUCACGGUUUGGCUUGUGCCCUUUUGCGCCCCCUGGAUCGUGGUACUCUCCCCCACCUCUGGCCUCGCUCGCCUUUGGUAGUUCAUCUCGAUCGCCCUCGGUUCGCUCCCGCUCGGGCAACUUCUCCGCCAAAGCAAUCGUGGAGUUCAGGUCCUUCACGUCUCGCGCCACGAGCUCCUUGUUCGCCCAUGGCUGAAGGCCAUCUAGGAAGAAGAAUAGCCGAUCCUCAUCGGCCAUGUUGGUGAUCGCCAAUAUCAGUUUCGAGUACUCUUGGACAUACUCUUUCAAGGUUCUCGAAUGUUUGAGCCGUCGAAGUUGCCUCCUCGCAAAAUAUUCGACGUGCUCGGGGUAGAACUGCGCCUUGAGCUCGCGCACAAAGUCCUCCCAUGUCUUCAGUUGGCAUUGGCCUUUUUCGGCCUCUGCAGAACGUCGACGCCACCACAGCAUCGCGUUGUCAGUAAGGUACAUGGACGCAAUCUGGACUUUCUCCUCCUCCUCGUCCAGCCGCAACGCCUUGAUGUAGCGCUCCAUGUGCCACAGAAAAUUGUCGAUUUCCUUCUCAUCGCGUGUACCCUUGAAAUUUUGAGGCUCAGGAAUACGUACCUUCGAAGCGGACUCUCUUUGGGGUUCAUGGCCACGCGCCACCGCCUUCUCAAGGAUCGUUACUCUCGUUUUGAGGUCCUCGACCUCGUCGACUCGAGCAACGAGCUCCUUGAUCAGUUUCUUUCGCUUCUCGUCACGACGCUUCAUGUUGGCUUGGAGCUUUUCAAGUUCGCUUCGAAAUGUCUCCAUGGCAGUAGCGACGCUUUCCUCCAUGCUGUGGACAUCUUCGUUGAAUGAGUUAAAGGUAUCGGCCAUUUCGGUGUACCUUUCACCUAUUUUUGCGAUGAUGUCCUCCAACAGCACAAGACGGUCCUCCAACGACGCCGAAUCACUCGUGAUUCGUUGAAGGUCUUUGCUCGUGCUUCGCUUGGAGGGUCGGCCCCAACGUCGACAAUUCCCGCAUCGGAUGACGACAUGGUUCCUCACUUGAACCUGGUUUUGAUACCAACUGUCACGGCCUUAGCGGUUCUGUUGGCAAAGCCCGUGCGGCGCCCGCCUUCCUACUCGAAGAUGGACAAGCCUUCGUCCCUAUUGCUAGUCCGGACCUUCGCGUCCUACGACUAAAUAUGCAAAGGAAAAUGACAAAGAGAAAGAGGUAGAGGUUCACUCAAAAACUAAGUACUCCACUACUUAGAAAAGAGAUUACAACACACAUACACACACACUCCCUCUUGUGUGUUUUGACCUUAACCAAAACCCCACUACUUAUAAGCUCCUAAAUACAAUGAACUUAGACACACACUAACUCUUUCAUUAUGAGACACAUUAACUCACCCUCAUAAUGAACCAUAAGCUCAAAAGUCACCCCAUAACUCAUGAACUAUUGCAUACAUAAUGAGCCCUCAUAAUAGCCAAAAGCUCAAGAGUCACCCAUAACUCCCAUGAGUUUCAUAACCCUUGAGUUUUCCAAAGCGGGUUGGGUUUGGGUCUCCUUGACAACCCGAUUCAACCCGUUUUCAACCUGUUUCGUUAGCAGACUU
rnacentral:lncRNA from 1 species